rnacentral:rRNA from 1 species
UACAGAGGGUGCAAGCGUUAAUCGGAAUUACUGGGCGUAAAGCGCGCGUAGGUGGUUCGUUAAGUUGGAUGUGAAAGCCCCGGGCUCAACCCGGGAACUGCAUUUGAAACUGGCGGGCUUGAGUAUGGCAGAGGGGGGUGGAAUUCCGCGUGUAGCAGUGAAAUGCGUAGAGAUGCGGAGGAACACCGAUGGCGAAGGCAGCCCCCUGGGCCAAUACUGACGCUCAGGCACGAAAGCGUGGGGAGCAAACAGG